UACAGGGGGUGCAAACGUUGCUCGGAAUCAUUGGGCGUAAAGCGCACGUAGGCGGUUCGUUAUGUCGGAUGUGAAAGCCCUUGGCUUAACCGAGGAAGUGCAUCCGAAACUGGCGAGCUAGAGUACGAAAGAGGAUCGCGGAAUUCCCGGUGUAGAGGUGAAAUUCGUAGAUAUCGGGAGGAACACCGGUGGCGAAGGCGGCGAUCUGGGUCGAUACUGACGCGUGAGGUGCGAAAGCGGUGGGGAGCAAACAGG
rnacentral:rRNA from 1 species